rnacentral:lncRNA from 1 species
AUGUAUAGGUGGUGAGCCUUCUAACAAGGGUAAAGAGAUUGUGCCCAAAGAUCGAGAAUAGAAGUAUAUCGAACUCCUAGUACUGUGAGUAACCUUACUAUCAUCUUAAUUAUCUAGAGUGGUUUUUAUUCGAUUUUGUGAUUUGAUAAAAAAUGAGUUUAAAUGGUAAAUUUUUAGGUUUUAUAAACAAAAUGUGUUUAAAUAAAAUGAUUUCAUAAAUGGUCUUAAAAUUGAAUGAAGGCUUUGAAAAUGGAGUAAUUGGAGACCAUUUAAUGUAUUGUAAAUUUAUGGUUCUAAUUGAUUGGCUUAUGACAAUAUUGGCAUGAAUGGCUGAAUUGGUAUUUGUGUUGAAAUGUAUAAACUGUUGUUUGCCUUGAUAGGCUGGAUAAUGAUAAAAUCGCCAUAUCAUGUUGUUGAAUUUUUAUUGUAUGGUGGGUUUAGCUUGCUGCAGUGGGCUGGUUCUGUGGACCAACCUAUUAGAAGGGCACGGAACCUGGUCAUAUAUAUGUACCUCGAUUAGAGAGGCGCGUAGGGUAACUCCCGAGGUCAAACUUUAGAGUUCACUUCACGCCCAACCACCACGUGAGGGGAACUCAGCCAACGCCAAGGAACGACUACGUUUUCAAAAUAAAAACAUGAUUUAUGCGUACAUGACUUUUUAACAGCCUUGGCGGACUCAGUUUGGGAUAGCCCUCGGCCAAGGUAUCCUUGAUGACUGAGUAUGAUAAUGAUUUUGGCAUGAGCCAAAGCUUUUAAGAAAUUCAUAAGCCAUAUUAAUUACUUGAUUUAUAUGAAUUGAUUUUAUUUGGUUGAAACAAGUUGAAAGGUGAUGAAUUUUAGUAUGUUAAACUAUUUUAUCUGUCUCCAUUUAGUCGACUUUAGAUGGUAUCUGUUUACUCACUGGGAUUUUAUAAUCUCACCACCCUCCUUUUUAACUAUUUCAGGCCCGAGGUAACUUGUGGAUAGCAGAUAUCGUCAAGGAUUAUAGUCGGCUUUACUACUCCAAAAACUGUAGGUUUACUGCCUUUGUGCACUUUUGUUCCUUGUGGGCCCAUGAGUCACUAUAAAGUAAAUUUCAUAUCUCAGUUAUCUGUAUUAUAGUACGUAUGAACUUAUUGAGCUUUUACAUUACAAAAAUUAUUUACCGAUGACUCUAUAAUUAUUGUUUUACAAGAAAUUAUAAUAUUUUAUUGAAUAUUUUUAUUUUAUUCAAAUAGUUGCAAUAUGAUUUUUCAUAAAUGUUUUAGACACCCAAAUUUAUUUUAAAUCAUGAAAUAUGUGUUUUCCACUAAUCUACUACAUUUUUAGUCGAGUUCAUAAAAUUUUGAGGAAAAAUGAUGAAAACGCCCUUGUGAGGCGAAAAUUAUUUUUCCACGGUUUUGAAAGGGAAAAAGCUUAAAAUUCUUUAAAAAUGAGGUUUGGCAAUGAUUACUCACAGGGGAGAUGAAAAAAAAUGAUACUAAAGCCUUGCGGGGUUCCGGUUAGCACUUCGGGUAACGAAUGUCUACUCGGACGUCGCGACGGCUGUCACAUUCUCAAGGGGAGUAUCGGAUCAUGACAAUUCGAGUGGUAUCAGAGCAUUUGGUUUUAAAAUUGUUUAAAAAAAAACUACAAUGUCAGUGUGGCCCCAAGUUAAGUUAAGGUAGAUUAGAUUUUGUUGGAUAGAUACAUCUGCAUAUAGAAACCUACUUGUCCUUGUGGGAUAUAAAUGAUCAGGAAAUUACCAUUUGGUUACGUAUAAGUUGUGGUGCUCGGAUUGCACUUACUAUGCCUAGGAGAGAUAGUGAUUCCGAUACCUCACAUUGUACUAGUGAGGGAUCAAUAAAUUCCACCGCUAAAAGCUGAUGUCGUUCUGAACCCAGUAAUCUAGAAAGAUAUUCGUUUAGAGUUCCUAUUAAUUGGACUUCAUCGGAUUUGGGAGUGAAGGUUCGGAUAAAGGAAAGCACUAGUAUUAGUGAGACUGAUGAAAGUGUUGAUAGUAACGACGUUAAUGAAGGCAUAAGAAAUUUCAUCUUGAAAGAAAUUGAGGAAUGUAGGAAACUCCAGCAGGCUCGGAUUAAAGAACAAAAAAAAAGAAAGCUCUAAGAGAAUCUGAAAGAGGAUCAUUGUGAUGAUGACCCUAAAGAUACUUAGUGUUUUGUUGAAGUUGUACUACUUUAACUCUAGAUAGAUGUAGUAUAAAGGAAAUAGUAACUCCCUGUAUAAAGGAAUUAAGAGUUGACUUUUAUUUUAUAUAAUGUGAAUGAAGUAAUUGUUUAAAUGACUGGUUAUAUGUAUAUGGGAACCUUUUUGGUAGGACAGAAGUGGAUUAGUGGUAUAAUCAUUGAGGAGGGGUAUUUACCUUAGCGGUGUGAUUAGUUGCCUUAUAUAAUUACUGAGAAUUGACGUAGAAAUUCAUCAAUGGUACGGGCAACUACAAUACCUGAUAAGUGACUUCAAAAUUUCUUAUGGAAAAGGUGAAAUUUGAAAUUUCAGUUGCAGCUACAAAUUUGAAAGGAUAUAAGUGACGCUUAUAAUGGGUUUUUUAUUCUAUGAGGAUUAUGAAUAUAAGUGUAAAGAAAGAUGAAGGUAUGAGAUAUCGAUGAGGAAUAUCAAUGUUAAGUGAUGAAGUAUGAAUAACGAAUUACAAGUGUGGUAUGGUAAAUGAGUUAAUGUAAAGUGUUGCAAUGAGAAUUUAUAAUUCUUGUCUCGACUCAGUUGAAUAAAAGGGGCUAGUAACAACACAAGGUCGAUUAUGUGGAUAUAAAGAGAAAUUAGUCUGAAGGCAUUUGAAAACAGAGACCCGUAUACAUAAUGAGGAAUAUGGACAUUUUAAUGUGCGUGUGUACAUAUACGUGGAGAUUAAUGUUUCAAUCGCAAACUCGCGAUAAAAAGAUAGUUUUGAAAAUUAUGGUUUCCAUGAUCAUGAAAUAUAUGGAGAUUAUCAAUAUGUAGGCAUACACUUGGAGUUAUACAUCUUGUGAUCCCCAUGCAUCAUAUGGAAGGAGAUAUUCCAUAGGGGAGCUUACCCUAAUUUAUGGUUACAUGACAAUAGGUUUGACAUGAAAUUGAGAGUGCCUUGGCAUAAAUGUAUAAUGUAAUGUGAAAGGUUAAAAAGCCACAUAUACUUUAACAAAGCCAAUAACAUGAAGGAAGGGGAGAUAUGGAUGUUGAUAGGCUGAGCAUAAGGACUUAAGGAUAAUUAAUGCAAUUAUAUUAAGUUAGAUGGUAUGAUCCGAAUUAAGAACAUGGACGCCUUGGGAGAUUUUGAAAUAAUGUCUAGUGGGGUUAGUGAGCUAAAGUGUUAUCAGGCAUGCAAUGAACAACUAAAUUUAUGAGUGACUACGAAGAUAAGCCUUGGAUUGUUUAAGUUCUUAAUGGAACUUUAUUAAAGCAAGUGUAUGGAAAAGCAUAAGGGAAUAUAUUAGUUUGACUUAGUAUAAGAGGUCAAAAGUUGGAUGGCCAUGAGUGGCAUGUAAGUAACCCAAGAAUGUAUAGGUAAGUGUGCAAGGGAGCUAUGAUUGAUAAAUAAGGGUAGAACUUUAAUGAUGAGACAGUGUUCGUUGUGUUAGACCUUGAACUAUAAAAUAUAGAUAUGUAUCACCUUAUCAAUACUCUGAUGUGAUAAUUUCGAAAGACUUUUCGCAAUGAGAAAACAUUAAAGCUUAAGGAGCAAAUGGCUAUAACAGUCCAGUUAGACUCAUGACUGACAUGCCACAUAAGUAUGAGGAUGGGAUACAAGCAUAAGUAUACUUGGAAAUACUGAUUUGAGGCAAUGAUUAUCCUACUAUUUUAUGGACCUAAUGAGGUUCUGGUCUCGACAUAAUUGUAGACGCAAAACAUAAAUUGUGAAAUGUACUUCCCCACAAGUUUCAAUUUAUUUUUAAGUAAUUAUUAAGGCAAAGUACUUGAUAAUGAUAGGCAAAGGUUGAAUUGUGUUCCGAAUGAUUAGAAAAUGAGGGUGAUACGGUUUGAUUAAAUGACACUAUUAUGUGUAAGGGAAUAGAAAUACGCUACGGGGACUGUAAAGAUCUACUUAGAAAAGAAAUGAUGAUUCGAAAAUUCAAGUACUCAUGUACAAGUACGGGUUUGGUGAUGAGAUAUGACAUAGGGUUGAAUUACUCUAAUAUGAACUUUGACUACGAAAAUUUGAUUUAUAUAAUACGUGUUGUUUGGGGAUGAUGCCAACUAGUGGUUAACUCUCAUAUGAGAAUGGAAUAUGUGCAAUCGAAUUCAUGUAAUCAAAAGUGUGAAAAUUUGCCUUGAUUGGCAUAAGCCCAUGACUUAAAAUGGAUGAUUAUGGAUUUAAUCUUCUAAGGUAAAAAGGGCUGAAGGAAGUUGAUACCAGAAAUAUUUUGAUAAAUGAUACUUUGAUUUUAAAGUGUACUUGAGGAGAGAUAAAUGUUUAUUUUCAUUUUCAGAUUGAUAAACUAAUAAGGCCAUGAAAUCUAGUGUUUGGAGUAAAAUUUGAGGAAUCACAAGUUAGAUAUGUUUGUAUGUGACGUAUAACUAACAAGUUGGUUAUGACCUAGGAAUUAUAAGGAUUGAUUAAGUCCAUAAUGAUACAUCGAAAAGUAGGUUUAUUUAUUUAAAUAUAUCAUGGUAAUAGAUGAGAUCUACUUAAUAAGUACUCGAUCAUGAAAGUACUGGAGUUUUUUUUUUUGAGAAUAUGGUUAUAAAUGGUUAUCAAAUUUGAAUUAUCUGUGAUGUUAAAUAUAUAUAUGGAUAAAUAAAGAGUGUUUGAUCCUUAUGUAUUAUGAAAUGCAUGAAUAGGAAUUGUAGUGCACUCCCCUUUAGGAGAAAAAUUGAUUUGGAAGUAGUUGUAAUAUGGAAAGAGUAUUCUGAAGUGAGAAUUAUUUAUUGUUAACAAGUGAUAAAGGUAGCGUAAAGAUAAGAAAUCCCAUUAAAGGCUGAGUUGCGUGGACAUAAGAGACUUUGGGAGAUAGUUAAGGAAAUAGGAUCAAGGAAAUGUAAUCUAUAGCGUGGUUAAGCCGUAUGCGAUGGACUAAUAUGAUUAAGAAGAUUGAAGCUACAUAAAUGUGAGGUAAACAUAAAUAUGAGGAUAUGUAUAGGAAUGAAUAAGAGCAUCCCAAUGGUUAAAGUAUUGUGGAUGAAUGCUCGAAUGGAAGAGAUAUCAUGGGAAGUUGAACAUCAGAUGAGAAGACAAUACCCCACCUUUUCUUUGAGUUCAGUAAAUGAAAUUUUGAGGUAAAAAUUUUUUUUUAAGGGGGAUAGUGCUAUCAAGCCUGACCUUAUAAAGCACUUGCCAUGUUCUUCAAGUGAUUGACAAUAUGCUUGCAUACUUUAAAAGCCUCGAAAAAUCGUCAAAAGUCGAUAUUGUACCAAAGGUACAAUUAAGUUGAAUUAAGCCUCGAACUAGUCUAAAUAUAGAUCUUAAGAUAAAAUUGAGAAUUUUAAAACCCCAGAAUGACUUAAAAUGAUGAUUUAGAGUUCGAGGGCUGAAUUGGAGUCAAUUUGGAAUUUUCAUGUUCUAGGGGUAAAAUGGUAAUUUUGUCACCCGAGGAUAAAAUGGGAAUUUUUAGAAAAGAUUUUGAUCACAUUUAACUCAUUGGAGUAUGAUUUAAGUUUGAGAGGUGAAAAAUUUAAAUUGUGACCAUUUUGGAGUCCUAGGGGUAAAACGGUAAUUUUAGUAGUUUACGAGGGCAAAGUUGGAAUUUUAGAAUUUUACACCACCCGAGACUUUCUCGUUGUAGCGAGAUUCAUUUUCGCUGCAGCGAGAAUCAGGGCUGAUGAAAUUAAGGGGGGGUUUUGCUGCAUUGGAAAUCCGUUCAGUUGCAACGAAAAUCAAUUUGAAAUCAGUUAACAAUUUCCAACACUCAACAAUCAAUACAAUCACAUCUUAUUUCUUUAUCCUUUCUAUAGCAUAUAUAAACAGUUUUAUAACUUGUAUGAUCAUCUCUAUAGCAUAUAUGUAUAAGUAUACAUACACCUACCGAUCAUUAGCUCAUGUGCACUCCCACACCGCACAUAGCUGGAAUCAUCCUAUGCACUUCCACAUCACACAACAAACAUAUAUACAACCACUAGUCAUCAGCUCAUGUGCACUCCCACACCACACAUAGCUAGAAUCACACCACGUCAUCACUAGCAUGUGCCCUCCCACACCGCACACACUCGGUUAUAAUUACCAAACAAUAUUACUUAUCAAUACAUAUCAUAUAUCUAUAUAUAUAUAUAUCAACAUAACAUAGGUGCACACGGAUUCAUCACAGUCAUAUUCCACAACGCAAAAACGUUUCCUCAAGGGCUUGUUCCCAUGCAUAUUUUAGUGAAAAGAUCAAUCAAAUAUUUCAUGUGAUUCAAUCGAGCUUGUAUGCACUUAUCCCUAAAACAUUUUAAUGCAAGUUCACUCACUGUUUUUGUUGAUGCUCUGAUCGACUCUAACUAUGUCAAAUGCUCCGAAUAGAGAUGUGGGGCCUCAAAAGAAACCUUGGUGGAUUUUGUAAUUUGAAUUCCUUUCUAAGACUAGUUGUCUUAAAUUCUUAGCUUUUGGUGAAUAAGGUUUUUGUUUGGAUUCAUACUAAAGUCUUUUGUUAAGUAUCAUUGUUAGGAUGUGAUUGUCACAAUUUUCAACACUAUAUCUUUUACUUUGAAUUAUUCUGAAUAUUUAGAGAAGGUUUAUAUUGAUGUAAAUUUUAGAUUAUGUCAUAAAUUCUAGAAUUUGCUUGAUUUUCUUUUGAGGUGAAAUCCUAGGCAAUACUUAGUUAGGGAGAUGAUUUAGGCUAUCUUUGGAUAGUUUGAGUCUAAAAAGCCAACCUUGUUAAAUUUUUAUCCCUAAUAUACUCUUUUGAGCCUAAUUUCUCUUUUCUUUGUUUAACUACAUAAUAAUUUAGCCUAGCCUUUAAAUAAAAUUUCCAAUUUUGCAACCUUCACUCCUAAGCAUGGAUAUUGUUUUAGAAAAUAUAGAUUGGGCUAAAUGUUGAAAAAGGUGGAAAGGUGAUGUUGAUGUGAAAAAAAAAGUUCAAAAUAUUAAAAAACACCCCACUACCUAAAAUACAAGAAAAUAAGUUUGGGGGUGUGAAAUUGGGAAAUUGUAAAAAAAACAUGUUUUGAAAAAAAAAAUUCAAAUGGAAGAAAAGGUGUACUUGUAGAACUAAAAUAGAGCUUUAUAUAUAGGUCCUAGAAUAAUUAUGUGCUUAGGGUGAUUUAAGCCACAUUAUUAUCCUUUAUCAUACCUUGAACCUAGCCAUACAUUACAAGCCUAUUAAAGUCCUAUUAAUCCCAAGCUUUGUAUUAGUCUUCCUUAGUGGAGAGAGAGAUGAAAAGUAAACCUAUGGGAUCUAGUACUAAUUUGAAAUUUGUGUUGGCAUAAACUUAUCCGGAUGUCAUGAUAUUCUCAAUAAAAGACUUCAAACACACACGGAAAUCCAUUCGAGAAUGUGCUUGCAUUAGAAUUGAAACAUGAAUUUAAAUGAUCCUAUAUUUUUCCUUAGGUUAAUGAUUGAUAGACAUACUUUUGAGAAAAUUAAGGGGAAUCACUGAGUUGGUGCACUUUAUCUCUAGUAGUAGUAGUAGUAGUAGUAGUAGUACAAAUAACUACAUUUAUUUUAGUUUUCAUUAACUGAAUUUGAUUUUUGUAAGUUAGUUUUUUUGCUAUGUUUUGCUUGAGGACUAGCAAAAUAUUAAGUUUGGGGGUGUGAUAACUUUAUGAUAUAGAGUUAUUUGGGCUUAAUUUUGACAGUAAUUUAGCACAGUUCUUGUAGUAAUGCAUAGAAACUAGUAGAUUUUAUUUAAUUAGUUAUUUUUGGUGAGUCAAUCUAAUCUUAGUUAAUUUUAUGCUUAAUUUGGUGUUAAUGUGGUUAAGAUAGGUUGUUAUUGAUUUGUUUGUGCUUUUGUAGGUAUUUGAUGAAAGAAGAAUUUUAAUAGAGGAAGAAGAACAAUUUCAAAGUGUAGAUCUCCACUGCACAUGUUUCGAUAUUUCGGCCAUAACUCUCUCUAUAGAGCUCCAAAUGAGAUGAUUCUUAGACCAUUGGAAAGAUAAGAGAAAAAUAUACAACUUUCAUAUUUACUGUUUGCUAUAAGCCUAUCCUUGUAAGGGCAAAGUCACUAAAGGGAUUGGAUCCCUAUAUAAUAUGAUAGUGAUUGGCUUUGUGCUACUAGGAGAUGUUAGGUAUAAGCCUUACAGCCAAUUAGAUUUCUCAACCUUUAUAUCUUUAAUCAUGCAGCAAGAUUACUCAUAAUGAGCGAUCAAAGGUUUUCCUCCAUUAAUAAGCUAUUGUACUUAGGCUUAUUGGAUGAAGUCUAAUGAAUUAACAUGCCUUGUUGGGGAAUUGCAAAGUGUUACAAUUAUGAGAUCCCUAUACAUCAAAACAUAAUUCCUAAAUUGUUCCUAGUUGAUGUAUCAUUGAGAUUGGACAUCAAUGAUUUUUAGAGACUAGCACUUCUAUGUUCCAUACUUGUGAAGUAAGCAACUGAUCUCCUAAGUUGAAGUAUAGAAAAACUUAGAACUAGAAUCAUUACAAAAAAAAAGACCAUCACCAAUUGUCGGUAAAUUCUGUCGAAAAUUAUUGACGGAAUAUCGAUGGAAUUAAGUUACAAUAAGUAUCUAAAGAUUAUUAAUGGAAUAUGCUGAUAGAAUAAAAUUCAUUGGUAAAACAUGGGUUCUUAAUGUAAUGUGGUGGCAUGAUUUUUACCGACCAAAAAAUGUCAUCGAUAAUGCCUUCUCCAAUGGAGUUUUCUGACCAAUUUACUGAUGGAAUGUUUGGUAAAAAAUGUGGUCAAGUCACUAACCAAAUUUUCGAUAGAAAUUUUGUCAAUAAUUGUGUUGAGAAGAUUUAUAAGAUUUCCAACUGAAUUACUGGUAACUCUAUUAUAUAGAGUUAUUUGGUCACAAUUUUGGGUGAUUUUGUCUAAGUUCUUGAAAUUUAAUUUAAGUGUCAAGAGUUUUUAGUCAUUUACUUUAUUUUUACUAAAUUAUGUUAGGUUUAAUUGUUUUAAGUUAUUUUAUAACGUUUUGAUUUAAUUUUUGUUAUUAUUUAGGCUAAAAUACCCAGACACCCUCAAGUUUUGAUCAAAAUUACACGAAUAUCCAUUAGUUUUCAAAGUGGACACUCGACCCCAAAAAAAUAUUUUUGUUGGACACAUAAGUCCUAUCGUUAGUCAAUCGUCAAUAUUUUUGUUAGUUUGAUGACAUGACAAUAUUUUAAAGAUAAUUUUACCCUGUUACUAAUUUUAAAAAUUACCAUUAACUAAAUUAUAAUUUUUAUGUUUUUUUCAAAAGAAAAUUUCUUGCCUCUUGUGGCUUAUUGUUGGUUUAAUAUGUGCAAUGCACAUGGCCAUACAAGAAAUAUAAGGAUAAGUUGAGUAUUGUUUGCCACAGAGAUUUGCACCUAUUCUUACUAAGUGUUAAAUUUAUAACAAAACCGAUCUUAUUCAAGCACUCAAUUUUGACUGAUUCAUUAAAAUAAAAAUGAUUAUUAAAACUAAGUUAAUAAAGAAGAAUAAAAUUUCGUUAAGAGAAAUAUUGAUUUAAAAGCCUAGGAUUAUGGUGUCUUUCAAAACUUCAUCUAAAUUUAAUCAUUCUCCUUAACUUAGAUUAAUGGGAUACAUGACUAACCUAGAAUCCAUAUUAUGUACAAGUCUCUAUCAAGAUCAUGCACACAUACCUUUCAAAACUAAUUCCAUAUGUCUAUGAAAAUUAAUUAGAAAAGGUUCAUUACGUUUGUAUUCUAAUUUGGCUGCCUAAGGUAUUUAAGUAUAUGUCUAUUGUAAAUACAAAACUAUCACCUAACUCUGAAGUGAAUUGAACAAAGGCUAUUCAAAACAAUGGUUUAUUCUAAACUCCCUCUAUCUACUUCAAGUUGGAUACCUAAUACAUUUCAACUGGUGAUCAAGUAGUGAACACCAAUAAGUACAAAAUUGAAUAAACCGUGCACCAUCCAUUAAUACUAAGCAAAGAAAAAUCAUAUAUUCAAAUUACAUAAUUGUCACGACCCAAUUUCCUGAGCCAUGACCGACGCAUGAGCUCAAUGAGCAUAGCUCACUAAGCCCAAGCAAGCCUAUCCAUUUGCCUUUGCUUAACAAAUUUAUCAUAUCAUGCAUACACACACACCUUUUCCCAGGUGUGAACAUAGCCAAAACACAAUGGUAUUAUCGAUAAUAAUAUACAUGCACUAUACCAGUCAUGUAUUUAGCAAUUUACAUUGCAUACAUAUAUUCACAUUGUUAGAUUGUAUUCACAAUACAAAAGCACCAUGACUUCCAGCGGAGACAUUUACAAUAAAAGGGAUUACUAUCGAAUGCCAGACACAUACCCAGAAGAUGCACUAUGGGGACUCCUCGAUCUAGGGUCUAAUAGUCACCUGAUCUGAAAACAUGAACUUGAAAAUGGUGAGUAUAAACCCAGCGAGUGAACAAGGAAGAGAACAAACAGCAAUUAGGGAGAAAUUAAAAUCAUGAUGCACUUGUUUCAAAACAAUGCAAUUUAGUUCAUUCCUAUUUAAAACCCCUCCAAACCCAAGAGUUUCUCGCUGCAGCGAGCAUGAAUUUCGCUGCAGCGAAAACGGCACAACAAGAGAAACAUUUUUCCUUACUCAACAAAAAGCCAUCUUGCUAAACUAAUAAAAUCAACAUAAAAUUCAUGAAAAUUCUCAAAGUACAAUGUGUCAAAUUUCAUGUACAUCACAACCAUAAAUCAUUGUCCAUCAAUGUGGUAUAACACACACAUUUACAUAUGUAUAUAUAUAUAUAUAUACGUAUAUACCUAUCAUCAUCAUCUCACCAAUCCAUCAUCAUCAUCACCAGCUCAUCAUCAUCAUCACCAACUCAUGCGCACUCCCUACUCGCACAUGGCUGGGUCAUCACCGGGUUAUGCGCACUCCUUACUCACACAUAAUCGAGUCAUCAUCGGGUUAUGCACACUCCCUACUCGCACAUAACCGGGUCAUCCUCGGCUUAUGCGCACUCCUUACUCGCACAUAGCCAAGUCAACAUAAUUACACAACAUUAUAUUCAAGCAUAUAUGUAUAUCAACAUAAUGCAGCCACAUAGAAAUCCAUAAUAACCGCAUUUCAUAACAUAAACCUUUUCUUAAAAGCUUGUUCCCAAGGCAUUCAUUUUCAUGAAAAAUUUCAUAAAAUCAUUCAAACACUUUGUUCAAAAUAGUCAUAUUCCCAAAACAAUUUUGAUAGGCAGUCCACUCACAAGUGUCAAAAAUCCGGAUUCCAGGUGCAGUCAGACUAAUAGUCCUCAAGCGCAAUUCCUUUGCCUUUUCCUGACAUCUCCCUACCUUGACAAAUAACAAAGUCGAGGAAUUUACUAUAUUGUCCCUAAAUUGAUAUAAACUAAUUUAAAUUACUAAUGCUUGAUAUGUAAAUGCAAAAAUACGUUCGAUUACCGCUUAAUCGCGGUAUCGAUUAAAUUCGACCGAUCACCCGAUUAAUUGGCGAUUGUGUCCAAAUCAUCUUUAAAUUAAUUCAUUUUUCCUUUAAUACCUUAAUUUACCACAUACCAUUUAAAUAAAGCCAAAUUCAGCAUUGUUCCUUAUAGAAAAAUUUGGUCAUUUGGUGCACUAGCACCAAAAUUUUUUUCUACAUAACUGUUUCACCUUAAUUCAUCAUUUUUCAAGCCAUUUUCCUUGAAAUAAAAACAAUCCCCCAUUGAUAUUCAGCCCUCAUGGUUCGACCAACAAGGAACCCUAGAGAAAUUGAAUAUUUCUUUUUGUGUUUUGGUUUAUAACCAUGCUUAACUAUCCCUAAACACUAACAUAGUCUAAAAUAAAAUUAUUCCAACAACAAUUCCUUUUCCAUACCCAUUUUUCAGAAUUGAAUUCAUCAUGAUAACUCAAUAUUCAACCAUGAAAAUCAAGAACAAAAGCAUGGGUAAGCUAGGUAUCAAGGAGAAUUAAAGAAAUUUUAACUUACCUAGCUUGUUUCCUUGAUUUCUUCACUUUUUCUUUGAAUUUCCACCUAGGUUUUCUUGUUUUUCCCUUUGUUCUUCCUUUUUUCUUGUUGCUGGUUGUCUAGGCCAAAUAUGGUGAGAGAAUUGGGGAUUUAAUGGGCUGAUUUCUAUAGAAAAUAAUAAAAAUAAUCAAGCAUGCCACGUGUCACAUGCUUAUUGGCCUAAUUUUUAACUUUUUGACUUUUUUUUUCUUAAUUUUUCACCACAAUUAUUCUGGUAUUUAUCCAAUCCUACCACAUUUAAAAUCCCUUGGUCUUGAGAAGUGCUGGGGCGAAAAAUUUACCGAUUUGCCCUCGGGAUAAGAAAAUUACGAUUUUGCCCCUAUACUCCUAAAUGUACCGGAAUCGCAUUAUUUCUACUUUUCAACUUCAAAUAACACUAAUAUUGAUCAAUAUUAACCAAAUGGGGCAAAAACAAUAAUUUUUAAAAAAUUUUCGUUCACUCCUCUAGUGGCAAAAUUUCCAUUUUGCCCUUGUACUCCAAAAAUACUGAGAAUCACAAGUUUUCACUACUAAACAUCAUUUUAUACUCCAAUAAUCAUAAUUAUAUUUCAUAUAAUUAUUCUUAGUCAAAUGUGAUCAAAUCUUGGCUAGAAAUCUCAUUUAAUCAUCAAAUGGUAAAAUGAUCGUUUUGUCCUUAAUCGGUCAAUUUUCCUGAUGGACUCCAAACUGGACCUUGAACUCCGAAUCACUAUUCUAAGCCAUUCUGCGGGUUUCAAAAUUUUCAAUUUUCUCUUAAAAUUUCUAUUUGAACUAGUUCAAGACUCUAUUUAACUUAGUUAUACCACUCGGUACAAUACCGUCUUUUAAUCGAGCUUGACAAGGUCUCACAAAAGAGCAGCUUUUGCUGCUGAUUAUGAAGGCUGAAAAGUGUAGUUUUUGCUGCUGAUUUUGAAGGCUGAAAGGUAUCGUUUUAGUUGUUAAUUUUGAAGGCUGAAAGGUGCGGUCUGGUUGUUAAUCUUUGUGGCUUUGGUUGCUGAUUUUUGAGGGAGAAUAAUGCAGUUAAGCUGCUAAUUUUUGAGGAGAAAUAGAGCAGCUUAGCUGUUGAUUUUGAAGUCAAUCUGAGCAGCUUUGGUUGCUGAAAAUUAUUGGUUGAAAGAAGCAAGAAAUUGUGGCUGACGGUGAAAGGGAGAGAGAGGAAAAAAUUGUGGACAGCUUGUGCAUGUGAGAAAAGAAAAAGAAAGACAAGCAAGGUGUUGCUGGACGGUGAAAGAAAGAAAGAAAGAAAAGAAAAGAAAAAAAAAAAAAAGAAAGAGUGGGCAUGGCCCAACAAGAAAGAAAAAUUUGCAUAACCCAAUAGAAAGAAGUUGGGGAGAGACCAUAAAAAGGGUCCAAUAGCCAUAAAGGAGGAAAAGCCCAAGAUAGAAUAAAGGUGGAAAAAAUUGGACUUGGACUAACCUAGUCCAAAUAGGUAAAGAAAAUUUUCUUUGCUUUUAUUUGGCCUAUUAUGAAGUUGUAUUAUUUUAAGCUAGCCAUUUGUUUAAUUAAAUUUUUGGUUAUUAGUGAUAUGAAUUAAAUUUAAAUUUCUUUAAUAUAAUAUUUAAAAAUUUUAUUAGGAGGUGUCAUAGGACUAAAGUAAAGAAAAAAAUGUGAAAUUUAUGAAUAGUGCUCAAAUGAAGUUAAGAAAUUUUAAAUGAUUUGUUGUGAAGAAUUGUUGAGGUCAGAGGAAUUUAUAUGCAUAAUUUGGUUGAGAGUGUUAAGUUGAAUGGUAAAAUAUUCGAAGAAAUGAGGAGAAAUAAUGUGGACUUAUGAUAAAAUGAGAGAGAGAAGUGGAAUUGAUGCACUAAGUGUAUUGGGUUUAAAUUGUUGCUACGAAAGUUGUUGUGAAAGCAUGUCGAACGAAGUAUGUGAUUGGCAAUUAGGAAUAAUUAUACACGCAUACGAAUCAAUAGCGACGUAGUAAUCCCACUAUUGUGGGGUGAGUAACCUUAUCAUCAUCUUAAUUAUCUAAAAUAUGUUUUAUUCGAUUUUGUGAAUUUUAUGGAAUAUGAAUUAAAUGAUUAAUUUUUGGGUUUUAUAAAUAAAAUGUGAUUUAAUGAAAUGAUUUCGUAAAAUUGUUUCAAAAUUGAAUGAUGGUUUGAAAAUAGAGUAAUUGGAGAUUGUUUUUGUGUGUUGUAAAUUCAUGAUUAUAAUUGAUUAGCUUACGGCAAUAUUGGCAUGAAUGGUUGAUUUGAUAAAUGUAUUGGAAAUGUAUAAAUUGUUGAUUUGUCUUGAAACGCUGUAAAAUAAAAUAAAAUAAUUGCCAUGUCAUGCUAUUGUAAAUUUUAUUGUAUGGUGGGUUUAGCUUGCUGCUGUGGGCGGGUUUUCUAUGGACCAGCCUAUUAGAGGGGGACGGAAUCCCGUUAUAUUUUACCUCGGUUAGAGAGGUGAAUAGGGUAACUCCCGAGGUAUAACUUUAGAGUUUCACUUCAUGCAAAACCACCACGUUAGGGUAAACUCAUCCAACGCUAAGGAAUGGCUAUGUUUUCAAAAUAAAAACAUAAUUUAUGCGUACAUAACUUUUUAACAGCCUUCGCGGACUCGGUUUGAAUAGCCCUCGAUCAAGGCAUCCUUGAUAACUGGGUAUGAGAAUGAUUUUGGCACUAGCCAAAGCUUUUAAGAAAUUCAUAAGCCAUGUUGAUUACUCGAUUUAUUUGAAUUGAUUUUAUUUGGUUGAAACAAGUUGAAAGGUGAUGAAUUACAGUAUAUUGAACUAUUUUAUCUGUCUUCAUUGACUCAGCUCUAGAUAUUUUAAAUUGUAUUUGUUUACUCACUGGGAUUAUAUAAUCUCACCACCCUCUUUUCCACCCAUUUCAGGCUUAGAAUAGUCUGUAGAUAGUUGAUUUCAUCGAGGACCACCAUUGGAUUUGCAUCCUCCAAACUGUAGGUUCACAAUCAUUCUUCCUUUUGGUUAUUCGAAGGCCCACUUGUUACUAUAAAUUAAAUUAAAUACUCCGACUUACUGUAUUACGAUAUAUAUGAAUUUAUUUUACUUUUACGCUGUAAAAAUUAUUUAUGCAGUAUUCUAAAAAUAUUGUUUUAUGAGAAAAUUGAAUAUUUUAUUCAAUGUUUUUAUUUUAUUCUAAUAGUCAUAAUUUCAUUUUAAAAGAAUGUUUUAGACAUCCAAAUUUUUUUUUGAUUAUGAAAUAUGUGUUUUGCACCCGUAUACUACAUUAUUAGCUGGUUUCGAAAUUUUUAGGGAAAAAUGAUUGAAAUACCCCUGUGAGAUGAAAAUUAUUUUUUUAUUAUUAUAAGUUGAAAAUAGUUUAAAAUCUUUUAGAACGUGAUAUUUUGUAACGAUUACUCAUAGGGGAAAUGAGAAACUGAUAUUAAAGCCUUAUGGGGUUCUGGUUGGCAUUCCGGGUAAUGAGUGUCUAUUGAGACACCGCGACGGUUGUCACAGGCUCAAGGGGAGUACCGGGUCGUGACAAUUAAGUUGGUGUCAGAGCUUUUGGUUUUAAAGAUAAGAGUUUUUAGUUUAAAGUUAUUUUAAAAAUUUACAGAGUUAGUGUGGCCCCAAGUUAAGUUAUGUUAGGUUGAGUAGAACGCAUGCAUCUAUAGAUAGAAACCUACCUACUCUUGUGAUGCGUGAAUGAUUAAGUAAUUACUAUUUGGUUGCGUAUAGAUUUUGAGGUGCGCUGGUGACACACACCACAUGUCUUGGAGAGACGGUAGUCCCGACGCCUCUCAUAGUAUUAGUGAGGGAUCUCUAGAUUCUACUAUUGGGAGCCGAUGGCAGCCCGAAUCGACUAGUCCAGAAAGUGCAGAUAGUAAUAAUAUUAAUGUAAGCAUGAGAGAUUCCCUUUUUAGAGAAUCUAAAGAAUAUGCUAAAGAAAGAGGGAAAUUAAGGAUAGCCGAAGGAGGUAUUCGUCUUAGGAAGGGGGUGUCAGUUGUUCGACACUAUCCUUCAGGUUGUGGAAUGAAUGUAAAGGAACAACAAGAAAAGAACAAGGAGAAAGUAACUGUUGCAAAUUAUCCCCUUAGGAAUGUGAAUGUUGUACGACAUUUUCUUCUCAGUUGUGAAAGAAAUGCUACACCGGUGAGUUAUGAGGAAUGUAGGAGAAUACAACAAGCCUGGAUUGAGGAACAAAGGAAAAAAUCUCAAGAGGAGGAGAACCCGAAAGAGGAUCUUAAGAAGGACUUGGAGUAGAAUCUUUCGAUAAGAUCAGAUUAAGAUGAUGAUCCUAAUGACAUGUAAUAUUUUCGUAGGAUUUUGUACUGCUUUAACUUUAGGUAGAUGUAGAGUAAAGGAGAUAAUAAUUAUCUAUACAAAGAAGUUAAUAGUUUGGCUCUUAAAGUGUGUGACUAGAAUGUAUUAUAAAAUAGCUGUUUAAGUGACUAGAGGUAUAUGGGAAUCUUAACUGUAGUUACAAUUCGAAAGGAUAUGGAAAAAAUCAAUGAGGCUCUAGAUGACAUUUUGAGCGAUUAAUGUGAUAAAGUCAAAGAUUGUAAGCUUGAGGGUGAAGGAAGUAUAAAAGGAUGCCAUAACAUUAUAGGAAGAUAAUCUAAUACAAUAUAAAAUAUGGUCCAUUAAAGAUAAAUUAAGGUACCUAUACUUAUGGAACUCAUGAUAUAUGCCUAGAAGGGAAACCCAAUGGUUGAGGAUGAUUGAUGUAGUGACUUUGAAUGCAGAUAAGUAGCUUUGAUGAGGAAAUUUCUAGUACUUGCAACGCCAUAGUACUGACUAACAAACGCUGUUGCGUUAAGAACCUCUAAUGGCCAGAAAGUAUGAGCAAACUGUGAGCGGCAUAAAGAUUGGACUCACGAGUUGGAAAACGGUUAUUGGUUUUGUUGUCGAGUUUCGCUAUUAGGAGUCUUAAGUGCAUUGGGGGAGUGCUAAAAUGAAUAAUAUGUUGACUAAAGUUAAAUCUUAAGAAAUAAAGUAAACCCUGUAAAAGGUUAAAGAGGAAGUGAGGGAAAGGUUAGAUGAAUGUAUGAGAUAUUGAUAAGGGACGUCAAUACCAAGUGAUGAAAAUGUGAAUAAAGAUUUCAAGAAUGAUAUUGCAAAUGAGUUUAUAUAGAAUAUUGUUAUGAGAAUAUACUAAUCUUGUCUUGACUUUGUUGAAAGGAAAGGAUUAGUAACAACACAAGUAAACUAGGUGACAUGCUAGAAACCCUUGGAGAUAAAUUGAAGCAUGAGUAGUUGGGCAUGCCUUUAUGGAUAUGAUAUACUUGGAGUAUUAAAGAGCAAAUAAGUGAUUAAGUGUUUCAAGAAUGUUUAAACACCUUUGAGAAAGAAUUAUAAAUUAUACGAGAUUAGUAUAAGAUGUGUGACUUUAAAACUUGCUGAGGAGUCUAAUGGCUACGUCACAAAUUAAGUGAUCACAUGCUGUGAGACAUAAGUUUGAGAUAGGUAUCCCCAAGGAAAUACUCAAGAAGAGUUCUACUAUGGAUUUUAUGAAAGUAAGCAUUAAGUUAUGUGGCUAUAAAGAGGAAGUCGUAAGCUGGAAGUGAAAUUCGUAUUGACAUUGAAAGGUACUUAAGGAGAACCUUAUUUCAAGUCUUGCAGUUUUAAAUACAAAUUGCAGAUUGGUAUAGGGACAGUGAUGUCGUAUUAUUAUGGAAGAAUAGAACAAAGGAUGAUUGAAGACAAUUUGGAUAAUGAAGCCUAAUAAUGAAAACCUCCUAUGGUAGUAUGGAAAUUAGAAUUCGAAAAUGCUUAAGGCAUGCAUGAUUCAAAUGAAUCAAGGUUGAGAAGUUUAGGAAGAAGCGAACUAAUAAAAUGAUGAUUAGGUAUACAUAAGUAAGUAUAAUUUGUGAUCAAAAUCGGUAUAAUUGAGAUGAAAUUAUGGUUCAAAUUUAAUGAUGGUGAUGAAGGCAUGCUUAGUGUCUCGAUAUAAGAGAUCAUGAUUGUGAAAGGUAUUGCUGAUCUAGUUCCAAAGGAUGAUACUUGACAUAAAUGAAGUCUUUAAGUGGGGGAAAAAUGGAAUAAGAUCGUAGAAUGAGAUUGAUAACUCAACAUCGAUGUGAAUUCGAGGACGAAUUCUAUUUAAGUGGGGGAGAUUGCAAUACCCCAUACUUUGAUAUGGUGACAAAUAAAGUUUAUCGGAUGCGAAUUGAGGUCAAUUAUAAUGUUUAAACGUGAUGGAAGAUGAAAGGAGUAGUUUAGAAUAAAAUGAUCCGCAUGCAAGAAAAUAAUAAUAAAAUAAUAAUAUUUUAUCGAAAGAGAAUUUGUGAGAUAAAAGGGUGAUUCGGUAAUCAAUUGAGGAUAAUAAGGUAUUUUGGGUACCAAGGAGAUAAGAGAAAAUUUUUAGAAUAAAAUGAUAUUUUAUUAAUAAAAAAAUAUUAAAAUAUUAAUAUUUAACCGAAUGUCGAAAUCAGUCAUGAAGAAGGAUCAUAUAGUUGAUUCAAGUGGAGGGGAAGAAAUACAAACAAAUUUUUCCAGAAUGAGCAACAAAAGUAAAAUAUGCGUGUUUUGCUAAGUUGAGCUAACGCUGAUAAGUAAAUAUUUAAAUAUUAUUGUAAUACCGCGAUGAAGUGCAAUUUCGAUGUUUUGGUAGUACACGUACAGAGAAAGCAAGAUAGAUGAAAAUUGAAAUUUUUAGACGCAUCAAAGGGAUCGAAUUUAAAAUAUAAAAGUUGAAGGACUAUUUAGAGAAAUUAAAUGGAAGAGAUAAAAUAAACAAAUGGUAAAAAUAAUAAUACAAGUAUGUAUAUAUAUAUAAAAUAAAGGAAGAGCAACAUGGGCAGCCCCCCUUGUGGUCAAUAAAAAGAGUCAAAAGACUCUUUAAUUAAAUUGAUGGAAGGGGGCUAGCCAUAUGGAACAAAGGGGAAAGAAAAAAAGGUGUGAGGGGCCGGCCAAGUUGGAACAAAAUAGAGAAUAAAAUAUAUAUAUAUAUAUAUAUAUAAUUGAAUAAGUAAAGUGAAGAAGACAUAGAAGAAGAGAGAAGUCGGUUAGUGAAGAGAAGAAAAAGAAAUAAGAAGAAGGCGUGAGCAAAAAGAGCAAAAAGAAACAAGAGAAGGUUGAGAGGUGAAAAAGAAAAUGAAGGUGGAAGAGCUGAGUUGAGGAGGGCGGUUUUGUUGCCAUUUAGGGAGGAAAAGAGAGAUAUUUUUUUGUUAAUUUAAAGGGUGAGAGGAGCAGCUUUUGCUAUUAAUUUUGAAGGUUGAAAAGUGCAGUUUUUGCUGCUGAUUUUGAAGGCUGAACGGUAUGGUUUUAGUUGUUGAUUUUGAAGGCUGAAAUGUGCGGUUUGGUUGUUAAUCUUUGUGGCUUUGGCGGUUGAUUUUUGAGGGAGAAUAGUGCAGUUAAGCUGUUGAUUUUUGAGGAGAAAUAGAGUAGCUUUGCUACUGAUUUUGAAGUCAAUAUAAGUAGCUUUGGCUGUUGAAAAUUAUUGGUAGAAAGAAGCAAGAAAUUGUGGCCGACGGUAAGAAGGAGAGAAAGGAAGAAAUUGUGGACACCUUGUGCAUGUGAGAAAAGAAAAAGAAAGACAUGCAAGGUGCUGUUGGACGGUGAAAGAGAGAAAAGAAAGGAAAUGAAAUGAAAAGAAAAAAAAAGAGAAAAACAAAGUGGGCAUUGCCCAACAAGAAAGAAAAAUGGGCAUGGCCUAAUAGAAAGAAGUUGGGGAGAGACCAUAAAAAGGGCCCAAUUGCCAUAAAGGAGGAAAAGCCCAAGAGAGAAUAAAGGUGGAAAAUAUUGGACUUGGACUAACCUAGUCCAAAUAAGUAAAGAAUUUUUUUUUUGCUUUUAUUUGGCCUAUUAUGAAGUUGUAUUAUUUUAAGCUAGCCAUUUGUUUAAUUAAAUUUUUGGUUAUUAGUGAUAUGAAUUAAAUUUAAGUUACUUUAAUAUAAUAUUUAAAAAUUUUACUAGGAGGUGUCAUAGGACUAAAGUAAAGAAGAAAAUGUGAAAUUUACGAAUAGUGCUCAAAUGAAGUUAAAAAAUUUUAAAUGAUUCGUUGUGAAGAAUUGUUGAUGUCGGAGGAAUUUAUAUGCAUAAUUUGGUUGAGAGUGUUAAGUUGAAUGGUAAAAUAUUGGAAGAAAUGAGGAGAAAUAAUGUGGACUUAUGAUAAAAUGAGAGAGAGAAGUGGAAUUGAUGCACUAAGUGUAUUGGGUUUAAAUUGUUGCUAAGAAAGUUGUUGUGAAAGCGUGUCGAACGAAGUAUGUGAGUAGCAAUUAGGAAUAAUUAUACACGUAUACGAAUCAAUAGCGGUGUAGUAAUCCCGCUAUUGUGAGGUGAGUGACCUUAUCAUCAUCUUAAUUAUCUAAAGUAUGUUUUAUUCGAUUUUGUGAAUUUUAUGAAAAAUGAAUUAAAUGAUUAAUUUUUUGAUUUUAUAAACAAAAUGUGAUUUAAAGAAAUGAUUUCAUAAAAUUGUUUUAAAAUUGAAUGAUAGUUUGAAAAUAGAGUAAUUGGAGACUGUUUUUGUGUGUUAUAAAUUCAUGAUUCUAAUUGAUUGGCUUAUGGCAAUAUUGGCAUGAAUGGUUGAUUUGAUAAACGUGUUGGAAAUGUAUAAAUUGUUGAUUUUUCUUGAAAGGCUGUAAAAUAAAAUAAAUUAAUUGUCAUGUCAUGCUAUUGCAAAUUUUAUUGUAUGGUGGGUUUAGCUUGCUGCAGUGGGCGGGUUUUCUGUGGACUAUCCUAUUAGAGGGGCACGGAAUCUCGUUAUAUUUUACCUCGGUUGGAGAGGCGAAUAAGGUAACUCUCGAGGUAUAACUUUAGAGUUUCACUUCAUGCAAAACCACCACGUUAGGGUGAACUCAUCCAACGCCAAGGAACGGCUAUGUUUUCAAAAUAAAAACAUAAUUUAUGCGUACAUAACUUUUUAACAGCCUUCGUGGACUCGGUUUGAAUAGCCCUCGAUCAAAGCAUCCUUGAUAACUAGGUAUGAGAAUGAUUUUGGCAUGAGCCAAAGCUUUUAAGAAAUUCAUAAGCUAUGUUGAUUACUCGAUUUAUAUGAAUUGAUUUUAUUUGGUUGAAACAAGUUGAAAGGUGAUGAAUUACAAUAUGUUAAACUAUUUUAUCUAUCUCCAUUUACUCAGUUUUGGAUAUUUUAGAUGGUAUUUGUUUACUCACUGGGAUUAUAUAAUCUCACCACCCUCCUGUCCACCUAUUUCAGGCUCAGGAUAGUCUAUAGAUAGCUGAUUUCAUCGAGGACUACCAUUGGAUUUGCAUCCUUCAAUCUGUAGGUUCACAAUCUUUCUUACUUUUGGUUAUUCGAGGGCACAUUUGUUACUGUAAAUUAAAUUAAAUACUCUGACUUACUGUAUUACAAUAUAUAUGAAUUUAUUUUGCUUUUAUGCUGUAAAAAUUAUUUAUGCAGUGUUCUAAAAAUAUUAUUUUAUGAGAAAAUUGAAUAUUUUAUCCAAUAUUUUUAUUUUAUUCUAAUAGUCAUAAUUUCAUUUUAAACGAAUGUUUUAGACAUCCGAAUUUAUUUUUGAUUAUGAAAUAUGUGUUUUGCACCCGUAUAUUACAUUAUCAGCUGGUUUCAAAAUUUUCAAGAAAAAAUUACUAAAAUACCCCUGUGAGAUGAAAAAUUUUUUUUAUUGUUUUAAGUUAGAAAUAGUUUAAAAUAUUUUAGAAUGUGAUAUUUGGUAACGGUUACUCACAGGGAAAUUGAGAAACUGAUAUUAAAGCCUUGUGGGGUUUCGAUUGGCAAUAAGGGUAAUUAGUGUCUAUCGGGACACGGCGGCGGUUGUCACGGGCUCGAGGGGAGUACCGGGUCGUGACAUGCGUACUCCCACUUCGCACAUAGCCGGGUCAAUCAUCGAAGUACGCACACUCCUACUCGCACAUAGCCGGGUCAUCAUCAACGUAUGCGCACUCCUACUCGCACAUAGCCGGGUCAAUAUCAAUACACAACUUUAUUUGUAUAUAUAUAUAUCAACACAAUGUGGUAGUGUAUGGAUCAAUAAUAGUCACAAGUCACAACAGGGAGACAGUUUAUUGAAGGCUUGUUCCCAAGGCACUUGUAUUUAUGAAAAGCUAGAUAAUUCAUUCAAAUGUUUAGCAAAUACAUUAUAUUCCCCAAAACAAGUUUUGAAAUGCAGUUCACUCACUGGUAUUGCUGAACCUUUAAUUGACUCUAACCUCCACUAAUGGUUCAAAUGGGCAAUUGAGGCCUUGUUGGAACCUAUACACACACAACAUCACAACCAAUCCAAUUUACAUUAAUAUCACUCCAAAAGCUAGUUUCUAAUUAAAAUUUUUCUAGUCAUUCCUAAUUGGCUUCCAACUAUAUCAAAUGGCUAUUCCUUGCACUACUCUAAUCACACUAAAAAUGAAUAAACAACUCAACAAUAAAACAGCUAAUAAUCCAAAUUACUAACCAUUAUCAACAACUUAAAACUAAGCCUAGUUCAUCACUCACCUUACGGUUUCUUUGUAGUUGAAUUCUCUUCCAAUAGAUUCCAAACAAUUGUGAAAAAUCUCUCUUUCUCUCUCUAAACCUCCAACUAGUGAGAGAAAGUGCUGAACAAGGACUUUUUGAGGGUUUUAAAGUGAAAAAGUGAAAGAGCACAAGGGUUCUAGUCAAAACGGCACAAAGGUAUGAAAAUUAGAGCUAGAGAGAGAAAGUUGUGAAAGUUUCAUAUCAAUCUUCCAUGGAGGAUGGAAGCAACGUGAGAUGGAAGAAGAAGAAGAAGGAGAAGAAGCUGUUGGAGAAUGAAGAAGCUGUUGGAAGAAAAAGAUAAUUAUAGCUCAAGCUUAUCCAUUCCACUUGAAAUUACAAAAAUGCCCUUAGCAAGUUAGCUUGUUCUUUUCCAAUCCUCUGUGAAAUCUGUUUACUCUUUUGACACUGAGACCAAGUCCACAAAGGUCUAAAUAUACUUAGGUUUACGAAAACUUAAAAAUUUUGACUCAAGGUGCAAAAUGAACAUUUUACCCCUAUUGCGAAAAUUAUUGCCACAUCUAGUUUUCUUUUUGUUUUCAUCAUUAUGCAUAAUUUAUUUGGUCUUUAUGCUUAUUUAGACUUUAAGUAUCAGAAAACUUCCUUCUAGGAACUUAUUAAAGGAAAUGACGAAACUACCCUUGGCUCGGGUCAUUAUGCCUAUGCCUCGUUAUGAGUCUAUAGGGGUUGAGGUCUCACAGAUGUGUCGUCCAAAAACACUUGAGGUGAUGAUUCCUAUCUUGACGACUCAUUUGCCUUCACAUGCUUUAUACUAUACCAAAAAGCAUCUUAUUUAGGCAUCCUUGGUUAGGCACCCUUAUGGAUGAAAUUAAAGCAUAGCAGUCCAUGUAACACCUCGUACCCUCGUAUAGGAGCCAAAACAACUUUAUUGACAAGACGAAGGGUCAAUUGACACUAAUUUAAGUGUCAAAGAGCAGUGACAAGUGAAAGGAAUAUUUUGGAAUAAAAUAUUUCAUAUACGAGAGAAUAAUAUUAAAAUAAUAAAAAAUAAAUAAUAAUAAUAUUUGAUCAAGGAUGAAUUAGUGAGUUAAAAGGUAACUUGGAAGUCAAUCAGGACAAAGUGAGACACUUUGGGACCCGAGGAGACAAGUGGAGAGUUUUGGAAUAAAAUAAUAUUUUAUUAAAAAAAUAAUAUUAAAAUAUUAAUAUUUUAUCUGUUGUUGAAAUUAGUCUUAAAGGAGGACUAUAUGGCUCAUCUAAGUAGGGGAGAAGAAGUAAGAAAGAAUUUUGAAAAAAAAAGAAUGACGUUAGUGGGGCUCACGUGCCUUCAUUAAAUAAAGCAAGAGAAGGUAAAUAUAUAUUUAAAUAUUAUGGUGACACCUUGGUGAAGUGUGAAAUUGACAUUUUAUUUGUACAAGUGUAAAGGAAGAUAAAUAGAAUGAAAUUUUAAUUAAAGGAAGUUGAGAGGUGAAUUGCAAAUAACAAAAAGUAAAGGGGUGAAGCUAUAAUUAUGGUCAAAUGGUAAAUAAAGAAAAUUUGAGGACUUAUGUGCAAUUUCAUCAUUUUAAGUUAGAUGAAAAUUAACUAACCAAGGAAAAUUAGAUUAUGUGGGAGGAUGGAAUAUGCAUGUAACAAAUAUUAUUACAUGCAAAGAUAUGCACGCAAGGAUGUACUUGUAGUGGGGAACAUGUAGGACCCCCACCAUGUGACAAAUAAAAACGAAGGAGACAAAUGCACAAGAUGAAUUAUGCAUGUGAUUUUACUAGUUAAAGAAAGCACAGAAGAUUUAUGCAUGAUGGACACUUGGUGGCAAUGUUGGACUAAAUGAAAGGAAAUGUAUAUGCAUGUAAUGUUAUGGGCUAAAUGGGAGGCCAAAUGAGAAAUAAUGUUGGAGAAUACAUGAAAGGCUAUUUAACAAAAGUAAGGUGGUGUAAGUAGAAACAUGUUAAACUAAUGGAAGAAUGGGAAAAUGGGAGAAUGGAAGUGUAAAUUGAAUGGCCUGCCAUGCAUGAAGGUGAAUGGGAUGGAUAAUGUAAAAGAUUUCCAACCAAUGGCCAAAGGGAUAGAAUUGUUGCAUGAAGAUUCAUAGGAUGGCAAGGUGGCCAAGUAGCAUGAAAAGAUAAAGGAAUGCAUGAAUUUUAAUUGGCUAAGUGGGUGGCCAAAUAGAAUCAAAAGAUGAAAUUGUGCAUGCCAUUUGAUUGGUUGAGUGGGUGGCCAUAUAAAUACCAAAUUCCAAAAAGUAAAAGAGAACAAAAAAGUUGGCCUUGAGAAGCUUGAGAGACUUGAGCAUUGAGAAAGGAAAAGAAAGAAGAAAUUGUUCUUGAGGGCUCCACCCUAGAGGAAGAAAAGAGAAAGAAAGAGAGAAAAUGGAGAAAGGCUCGAGUUUGUGAGGAUUCAAGAGAAAAUGGAGAAAGGCUCGAGUUUGUGAAGAUUCAAGAGAAACAAUGGUCUUACUUCUUUCUUAUUAAGUCUUGAUGCUGAAUUACCAUUCAAAGUGUAGAUUUCAAGCUUGAAGGAAAGUAGUGCUUCAAUUUGACUAUUCAAGAUAGAGAAAGGUAAAAGUUGUGAUUUUGCUUGCAUGCAUGUUUUGAGAACUAGUUGUAACCAUAAGAAACAUUUUGUGGCAGCAGAUCUUUGAAGAAUCAAAGGACCAGAUGCAUGCAUGUUGAUUGUAUGCAAGUAUAUGGCGAUUUGAGACAAAGAAAAGAUGGGUAACUGUUCUUCACCUUGAGUUUCAUGAAUGGAACGAAAGAUAGAACAUUUGUUGAUGAUUUGUGUUCGUGGCAGCAAUGGUGAACAAUGUUAUGAAGAGAUAUUGAAUUGCAUGUAGAGUUCAAGGUGAUUUGGAAGGUAAACAUGCAAUGUGGGUAUGUUAUGGCACAUUAAGUUCAACUAAUUGAAAAUUAGUGGUUGCAUGUUAGAGUAUUCAUAAGAAUAAAGAUGAAUAAUGUGGAUAUUGAUGAAGGAUUCGUGGUUAAGAUGCUACCUAUAUAUAAUUGUGUAUGUGCAUGAAAUUGGAAAUUAUGUGAGAGGUCGAAUAUAGUGAAAAAUAAUUAUUUGAAAUGCAAAGAGUUCUUGAAAAUGAAAGAAACUAAGAAUAUGGUACACAAAGCAAAUAUGAGCUGAAUUGGAAUGAUAAAUACUAAGUAUAUUAAGCUUGAUUUAUUGCUAGGAAUUAUGCAAGUGGAAAAGGAUUACCAUGGUGAUUAACUAGAGGAGGAAAUAAGGUGACUGGCAAGCUAAUUUAAUUUGAAACGUAAUCGGAUAAGUGGCGAAGUAACAUCCCACCAUUGUAAGGUGAGUAGGGGCCGUCAAUUUUAAAAGAUUCUAUGCUAUAUCAAAGUAUAUGUAUAACAUUAUUCAAUGCCUUUGUGGAAAGCAUAAAAUGCUACAAAAUGAUAAGUGAUUUGAAUACAUGGUUUGGAAUGAUUUAUACAUUGCUUUUGUGCAAAGCAUGAGCUGGUAGAAACAAUAGGCAAUUGUGGAUGCAAAUUGAGUUGGAAGUUGUUUGUGUAUACUAUAUAUAUGUAAAGUGUUUUAGAAAUCGAGAGAGAAGCCCUUUUGCUAUAUUUUGGAUCAAAAUUAUGCCUUGUAUCUUUUUGUGACGUGCAUUGUUAAAUGCAAUUGAUAAAUGGUGUAAAUGCAAAUUCUCGAGAGCCGAUUUUGGUCCGAACUUUAUGUAAAUGUUUACACCUUGCAUUUUAAUGUGAAAAACAAUUUUGAAAGGUAACCAAACCUUGUUUUGAAAUAAUUGAAGGAAAAACUCUUGAAAACCUUGAUUUGGUUUGGAAAACGAUUUUGACAAACCGAGAGCUUCGAGAGUAGGCCGAAUGUCACAUCGGCAUAAUGUGACCCUUAUGCACAAGUGAGCUUUAGCUAGAGAACCUUUGGCUCACCGAUGAGCUAUUAGACUUGGCUAAGCCACGGUUUGUGAUUAUACGUGGCAAGGCCACAGGUUGUUAUACGUGGCUAGGCCACGAGUUGAUAUACGUGGUUGCGACCACAUGAUUUCUCCGAUGUCGACCAAUAUCGUUGAGACUGCCAUGGUUGUGGGAAUUCGGUGGAGGGUGCUUUCCUGGAUGCUAUUACGUGGAAGAGGGUCCACGGGUUGAUUAUCUAUUAUUACCUACUUGAGAGCCUUGAGAUUUUUUAGACUCGUACUCUUUUGCAUGGUGGAGAGAUAUUGUUUUUCUGUAGCUCCCUUUUUUUUUUUAAAUUAAAAGCUUUUUGUGCUUUUAAUGAUAAUCAUGAAUUGAUGUAUGUGGAUGUACUAGGUUAUUUUUACAUGCCACAUGGUUUGGGAGCGUGUGUGUUUCUAUACAUGUGAGACCCUAUCAAGCUCGAUUAAAAGACGGUACUAUACCGAGUGGUACAACUAAGUUAAAUCGAGCCUUGAACUAGUUCAAAUAGAAAUUCUAAGAGGAAUUUGAAAAUUUUAAAACCACNUGAUUUCGAUGAUUGAAAUCUAUUUUACUAUGUUUUGAUUUUCACAUUGUUUGCCAAGGAAAGUAUUACACUGUGAUUUUCACGACAUUAUUUUUGCAAGGCAGAAAUACCUUAAUUGUUAUUUGCUUUUAUAAGGAUAUCAUUUUAUAUUUUGGUUUCAUUCUUUAAAUUAUCUGCUCUAAGCUUGUUUCCCAUGUACGUCGUGCUCACGGAGCCAUGAUCACUGAGUCUGUGAGACUCACCCCUUCAUCUCCCCUUUUUGCAGAUAAGUGAUUAGCCUAGCUUGCAUUCAUCGACAUUUAUUGUCCAUCGUUGAUAAGUAACGGCAUCUUAUAGCAAUUUUAUUUUGUGUCACUCUGUUGUUCAAGGUCGAGUCGUUUAUAUUGUAGUUUGUUUGUAAAUAGACACUAGUGUUAAUGCAAAUGUACAUUUGCAGAUUAUAAACAUUGAUGUAUUUUUACGACUAUGUGGAAUAAAAGUUUAGUCUAUUUGACUGACUUUUCAUUUUAAGUGUAACACCCCGUACUUUUACAAUCAUGUUGAAUAAAAGUUGAGUUGUUUUAUCAUAGUUAUUGUUCAAGUUAUGUUACGUAAAGGAUGUAUGGUUCAAGAAAUUAAAUAGAUGGGUGGAAUGGAUUCAUUGUUAUACAAAGGUUUCGAAUAAGGCUUGUUCGAGACUUGGUGAGUUUUUCACGAUCCAAAUUUCGGGCCAUGAUCGGCGUAUGGGCUCAGUGAAUGUAGCCCACUAAGCCCAAGAAAGCCUCUUUACGUAAUCCCGUUCACCAUCCCUUCAAUUUUUCAUCACCAUUACUAGACCAACUUUUGUAAUUUACAACUAGAUGUAUUUUCAUAAUACAACAUCGAUACCAAAAAUUUAAUUUGUAUGAUCACAAAAUAAGGUUAUUCAUAGCCAUCUAAUAAUGGCAUCAUCAUUCGAAACUAUACAUGCAUCGUCUGCAAGUGAUUCAUAGGAAUUUACAUUUAAUGUAUAUGUACUCAUAUAAAAGACUUCUGAAGACCACCGGAGUGACUUUGGUGAGGGUACUGCUAUCGAAUGCCAUGAUACCUACCAAAAGUGAAUGCAAGUGGACGCCUUAGUCUCGAUCCCAACUAUCUAUGAAUCUGAAAACAUGCAAUUUAAAAGAGUGAGUAUAAACUCAGUGAGUGAACAUAAGAAGGGAACAAGUAACGGUAAGGAAUGUUUUAGAAAACAUGAUGCACUAACGAUAAAACCAUGCAAUUUAGUCAAAUUUUUAGUUAAAACCCUUCAUUCCAAACUUUGAAUGUUUAAGCUCUUAAUGUUACAAGAUCCAUGAUAAACCAUGAAGUUGAAUGAAUGAAAAUUUCAGCAAUGACCAAGCAAGACAAGCAAAUAAAGGGUUUUCUCGCUACACUAAAGAGGUAGUCUUGGUUUGCAUAUGCUUUGGUUUUUCAAGCAUAACUCCUACUACAGAAGGCCAAUUGAUAUGAGUUUUAAGUCAUUAGAAAGCUAAGAGACUGGGCUACAACGUUAAUGUUUACCACUUUGCCUAGUUCUAAUUGGAAGGUGGUCACAAUCGUUGUCAAAUUGAAAGUAUCGCACCAAGAUUUUGGAACUACCCAAGAGUUUCUCGCUGCAGCUAGAAUAAAUCUCUCUGCAGCGAGAAGCUUCAGCAAAUUUCUCACUGCAACGAGAAUACAUUCUUGUUUCAGUGAUAAUCAAGCCAGUGCAACCCCCCUCCAACCCAAGAGUUUCUCACUACAGUGAGAAUGAAUCUUGCUGGAAUAGGAGUGUCAAGGACAUAGGAUUUUUUUCUCCUAUGUCAAGACAAUCUUGAGGUUUCGAAACCAGUAUAAGAAGUUUAGGACAAUCAGUUUGUUUGCAUCCAAGAUGCUCCAAAGUGACGAAUUAUUAGACAUUUGUGAUGUAUAUAAAAUAUGUUUGAAUAAAAUAAAAUAAAAGCAAUGGGUAAAUAACAUACAUAAACUAUUUAAAAUAAUGUUUUAGAAUUUUAAAUAGUUCUCCCACUAUUUUAUAUGCAAAAUGACAACUCACAAAUUCAUUUUAGAAAGUCUGUUCUAGGAUCUUUCUAGUGGGUUUGGCAACAUACCACAACCUUGAGUAUGCUCAACAAGCCAUUAUAAGCCUAAUUGAGUAGAUAAUUUAUUGAUCACAUCUCUUAUGUGGCUUCUAGAUUCAAUUAAGUGACAACUCAUUAUCUAAGUAUAUAUUGUUGGUCCCAAAUAAAUGUGCUAGAGGGGGGGUGGAUAGCACUCUUUGGCUCUUACUAAAAUAGACUUCUAAUUGAGGACAAUUGCAAGAUAAAACAAAGAUUUAAAGAAGAAUGAAAAACUAAAAAUAGAGCAGACAAUCUCACAAGAAUUUAUAAUGGUUCGGACCAAGACCUACAUCCACUACCUUGAUUGUUCAAUCAAGGAUUUUCCAAAUAAUAUCACUAUGAAAAGUGGAAUUCUCAAGCUCCCACCAAGCUUUUACAAUGGGUUUUACCAGGCUCAGCCAAAACCUUUCACAAUGGUUUUUACAGGGAUCAACCAAAACCCAAUAACUAACUUUUCUAGGCUAAGUUAGAACCUAUACACUUAAUCAAGCAAUCCAAGCUUGAAUAAAUCCCUUAGAGUGUCUUGCACACUCUAAGUAUACAAGAAGAAGAGAAAUAAGGAAGUACUUAUGAUCAUUGACUUGAUCUAAGUGGUACAAAGUGAAGUGUUUAUCUUAAAUACAAAGAUAGAAGUGAAAUGCAGUAAGAAUGCAGAGAGUUUUUGCUAGUUUUUUAGCUCCUUUUGUUCUUGGAAGCCCCUUAAAUACUUGAAAAAUCAGCUCUGAUAGGUGUUAGAUAGUUUUUGACGGUUGGAAACAGUUUGGUGGCAGUUCUGGCCGUUAAUCUGUCUUCGAGUGCUCAAUUCAAAAUUUUUGACAGAAUGAUCUUAGUUGACUAAGUCAUUUCUAUCUUUUGAUCCUAGUUUCUGGCAGUGAACACUUAGUCAACUAACUUACUUCUUAGUCAAUUAAGUUGUUUUUGUCUUGAAGUCCAAAUUUUUGGCAGUAAGCUCUUAGUCGACUAACUUACUUCUUGGUCAACUAAGUCUUCUUUGUCUCUCAAUCUUCUUAAACCUGCCAACUUCUUAUUUGAAUUUUAACUGACUAAUACCCUUCAUUAUCCAACUAAGAGGCUUUUGUUUUGUUGAUCAAUUGUGGCUUCUUAUUCAUAUGAUUUUUGAUAUGUGCCUUUGAAUGAUUGAUUUAUUCUUGGCAUACAAUUUUUGUCCUGCACACUCAAGUAGAGAUAUUAGACACAAAUGAAUGGGAAUGUUUUAUUAUCAUCAAAAACUAAUGGAGCCAACAUAUAUACUUCGCUUAACUAUUGCCUCCAGUUCCUAAGCAUCUGGAUUUUAUGAAACUAGUUGACUAUGAUCCACCAAUAGCUCAAACAUACUCAUGUAAAAGUGUGGCCUUGAGUGUGCUCAACAAGCCUCCGAUUAAAAAAGCAAUCAAGUUAUCUUGCUAUGUGGUGAAAGGCAAUUUAAUCAUGCAUGACAUGUAACUCAAUAUUUUAAGAGGGAUUUUGUCCUUUUUGUUUUGUUAAUGUCUCAUUUGGUUAGUAAGCAUAGCAAUUAAUAUAGCAUAAAAUUAAUAUAUCACGUUGUUCUACUAAGAUGGUUAUGGACUUUUCUACUUUAGUUUCCUUAAGCCAUCAUAGGAAACAAAUUGGUCAAAUUCUAAGGGAUAGCAUACAUUAAGCACUUCAUGCCUUAGCUUGCAUCCACCUUUAGCUUUCCAUGGCACCUUAGAUCUCCAUGUUCAGAUUUACAAAAUUUCUUUCCUAAUCUAAUCCUAUUUCUAAUUACAAUUGAAUGUAGAAACCUCAACUUACAUUUAAUGGGAGUUAGAUGAGAAAAGAAUUUUACUAACCCAAAAUGUAAGAGAUAAGGUAGGGUUCACAGAUUCUGUUUCAAAAAUUACCAUAAAAAUCAAUCAACCACUCAUCCACAGUCAUAUGGAAUCCAUAGUCCAUAACUAUACUCAUACAUCCAUAAUCUAAUUACAAACAUAUAAGUAAAUACUAUUAGGAAUUUUGAGAAUAUGGUGCCUUGGAAAGCAAGUAUAUUCUCAUGCUUAAAUUCAUUAAAUUUAUUUGUAAUGAAAGUACAUUUUGAUAAUAAGACGAAGAGUUUGUUUUAGUAAGCAUUCAUUAUCUAGUUAUUAAGGUACCAAGAUACUAUUGAGUUAUUAAAAUACAUUUGUAUGAAGAGUCAUACAUAGGAGACAUGUAUUUUAAUUGAAUGUAAAAAUUAUUCACAACCAUAUAAUAAAGCUGGUCACUUUAUUUUGUUAAGGGUGCAGUGUCCAGAUUACUUCCAACGAAAUGGAUGUGAUUCAUUUCAAGGGAAUGAUGAGUCUCAAAUCAUCGAAAUGGUUGACUUCGAGUAAUGACACUAUAACAUGAACUGGAAUUAUGUGAGAAUCAAAUUUAAGUUUUACUGUUACCUAAAUCUUAAUCUCACACUUAUGCAUUUGCUUAUAGUAGAACCGAAAUCCUGAUGGAUAGUGGACUCGUGUUUAAUCUCUUUAUAAUCUUUGAUUUACCAUUUGCAUGAUCAUCAUAAAGCAUUGAUCUAGACUUCGUAUUUUGGGAUUAUAAUCAAGAUGAACAUCUGGGAACAUAUAUCCAGAUAAUGGAGUUCAUAGCAUUAACAUCACUUCUAGUGAUUGCAAGAAGAUUGGUAAUUAAUCUAAGCCUAGUGUAUUGAUGAAUUAACUACUCAUCACAUCUGGAUACUCAAAAGAUUAGAUCUAGAGUAUUGAAUCACUAAUUGGAUGAAAUUUAUGAUGGGUUUGGCUAUGGAUGGCAUGCUCAAAAUACACAGCGAAAAGAAAAUUAAAACUUUAUAACUAAACAACAAAAACAUGCCUCCAUCCAUGGCUCACCUUGGUGAUAUUUAACACAUAAAAGCACAAAAUAAAUUAUUGUUUAGAAAGUUACCUUGCCAAGUAAUUUCGUAAUCACAAUGGCACUUUCCGAAGCAACCCCACGAACACCACAAGGAGCAAACACCCUAGCCAAUCAAGUGCUUGGCCUCCAAUGGUAGUACACACGAUUACACUUGAACCUUCAACAAAAGAGGAAGUUUUUAACUAUACUUUCUGCUAGCAAAGAGGACAACAAUUGCCCUUUUCUUCUUUUUUCAGAAUCUUAACCGAACCUCUCUUGAAAAUUGCCUCAUAAGCAAUUUUCUCUUUCACACAAACGGAGUGGUGGCAAUGAAAGAAAACGUUUUUCUUUUUUUGAGAAAAACUACAUUUUCUUCAGUUGUGAAAAACUCUCAUAUGGAAAAUAGUUAAAAGGUUACUUAUAUAGUUAAGUUAAAAUAACUUUAAUUUUGCAAUUAAGCCCUCAAUAUUAUAACACAUUAUAAUAUUGAGCCCAUUACUUAAUUAAACUCUUUUAAUUAAGUCCUUGAAAAUUAAAAUCAAAAUUAAUUUCCUUUAUAUUUUGCAAUCAAGGCCUUAUAAUUAUAACUAUUUAUAAUUAUGCCAAAAACUUAAUUAAACUCUUUUAAUUAAGUUUAUAGAAGUUAAUUACCUAGCAUGUGAUUUAAGUCCAACUUAAAUCGUCACUCUCCUAAUUUAAUUCAAAUGCAAUCAUUGUGUGUUACCCAUUAGGUUCCCAACAUGUUGGCAGUGGAAUUGAUUAAUGACUUAAUUGAUUAAUAUAAAUUUCAAUCAAUUAAUUUAUAAUCAAUUCUAUAGACUAAGAUUGGCAUCUUGCAAUGCAUCAUGGCCACCCAAUUGUUGGGAGAGUCAAAGGGUUCUUUGACAACCUUUCAAUGUACAAUCUAUCAGUGUAAUUCAUUCCCUCAUCAUAUAUCCCGAAGUUUAUAAGAGCUUGGUACAAUGUCUACUUUUAUUGACCUCCAUAUUUAUUCCUACAAUUAUAGCAUUAGCUUUAUAGAGAGUUAUGAAACCUUUUUCAUAAUCUCCAUGUCACCUUGGCCAAGGACUUCAAUAAUCUAAUGUUAACCAAGAACUGAUAGGAUAUGUCCUCUAAAACACUUGAGGUGAUGAUUCCUAUCUUGACCACUCAUUUGCCUUCACAUGCUUCAUACUAUACCCAAAAGCAUCCUGUUUUGGCAUCUUUGAUUAGGUACCCAUAAGGAUGAAAUCAAAGCAUAGCACUCCACACAUAAGACAACCUGACGUCUCAAGUCUAAGGAGUAUUUACACAACUGACACAUGAGAAGUGUUGCAUAGACACUAGAGUGUAUUACCAAAUGCACUUAUCAUGGCGGGUCAUGUUCAGUGAACUUACUCUUCUAGACAAACACCUAUAUUCUAGUUCCAAGUAUCUCUAUACUUCAAUCUAUGAGAUCAAUUUCUUACUUUCAAAGUAAGGAACAUAGAAUAUACUAGUCUCUAAGUAUCAUUGAUGUCCAGUCUCAAUGAUACAUUGACCAUGAACAUUUUGAGAUUAUGCUUUGAUGCAUAGGAAUCUCAUAACUGCAACCCAUUAUAGUUUCCUUGCAAGGCAUAUUAAUCUCAUGGACUUCAUCCAAUUAGACUUAUAACUCAUUAUAAUUAAUGUCUUAUUGAUGAAGGAAAACCUCUAAUCAUUCAACAUGAAUGAUACUGUUACAUGAUUCGAAUCAAGCCUCAACCAAUCUCAAUUGGCUGCAAGGCUCAUCCCAACAUCUCCCACUAGCACAAAGGCAAUUUCUACCUCAUCGUAUGUGGAUUCAAUCCAUCUAGCAAUCAUGUUUGCAUGUAGACUAGCUUGUGCCUUUCAAUGUGGUUAAUUACUUUUAUUUAUCUUCGUGAUGUCCAUGCAUCACAUCAUGUCAUAUUACUAUAUCUAGAUCUAAUGAGACCUAGGUUCUGCUUGUAUGGCUCCAUUGUUACAUUAACAAUGUUCAAAACCUUUCAGUAGUUCCAUGGACUAACGAUCUAAGAAUCUUCCUGUUAGAGCCCUUUUAAUAAGAUGUAUAUGACUUUAAUUAUAUACAUGUACAUAGUCCUCUUUCUUUCUUUGGAACCAUUCUAACUAAACUAUGUUGUAUGCAUCAUAUGCAUUUGUCACUUUUCAUUGUACUAUCCGCCCCUUUUAAAUUUUGGCACUUUCUAAACCUAGGGCUUUGAUACCAAGUUUGUCACAACCCAAAUCUUGGGCCAUGACCGACGCAUGGGCCCAAUGGGCAUAGCCCACUAAGUCCAAGCAAGCCUUUCUAUGCAAUCUCGAUCAUCAUUCUCACCCAUCAUUUCUAAAACCACAUAUUGUAAUUCUCAACUAUAAAUAUUUCAUUAACAUUUUAUAGCAACUCAAUAUUCACAUUUGUAUUAUGUUAAAAUAAUGUCACCCUUUUGCCAACCUAUAAUGGCAUUAGUAAUCAAAUAUACAUAUUGGAUUUUUAACAUGAAUCUUAAUGGUCUACAUUACUCACACGUAUACACAAGCAUAAGACUCUUUGUGAGACCUUGAUCUUUAUAGACUCGUAGCUAGAAGUAGAUGCGAUAUCAUGGACUAGGGGUAAUUUCAUCAUUUCCUUAGUGAGCCCCUAGAAGUAUGCUUUCAAACAAUAUUAAGGCCUAAGUAGGCCUAAGGCAUAAAUGAAUGAUGAAAAUAAGCAUAAAAUGACAAAGAAAAUAGAAAUAAUGAUGAUUUCCAAGGUAGAGGCAAAAUGGUCAUUUUUCAUCUCGGGUCAAAGUUUUUAAGUUUUCGUGAACCUGAGUAUCUCUAGACUAUUAUGGACUUUUUCUCAGUGUUAAAAGAGUAAAAAGAUUGCACAAAUGAUUGGAGGAAGACAAAGCCAACUUGUUAAGGGCAUUUUCGUAAUUUAAGUGGAGUUGGAUAAGCUUUAGCUAUAAAUAUCAUUUUCCAGCAACUUCUUCUUCUUUUUCCUCCCAUCUCACAUUUCUUUCAUCCACCAUGCAAGCUUGUUUUGAAACCUCUAUAACUUCUCUCAAGUUAGCUCCAAUUUUCAUGUUUUUGUGCACCAUUUCAUAGAACAUUUUGUGCUCUUUCGCUCUCUCACUUUAAAACACUUGAAAAGUCUUACUUCCAUACUUCCUCUCACUAGCUAGGUGUUUUAGAGAGAGAAAGAGGGAGCUUCUAUAAUAGCUUGAAAAUUUUUGGAAAAAACUUAAUUACAAAGCUACCAAGGUGAGUAGUGAAUUAGAGUUGAUUUUUUUUAAGUUGUUGAAAAUGGCUAGUGGAUAGAUUUGUGACUGUUUUGUAGUUGAGGAUAUUUAUUCAUCUUUAGUGUGAUUAGAAUAAUGAAAGUAAAUAGCCGCUUAAUGGCAAUUGGAAGCUAGUUAGGGAUAACUAAUAGAACAUGAUUUAGGAGAUAGCUUUUAGAAUUAUGGUUAUAUGAAUUGAGUUAAUUGUGAUGCUAAUGUGAUGAUAGGUUCCAACGAAGCCCCACCACCCAAUUUGGACCAUUAGAGGAAGUUGGAGUUGG